GACGAACCGUGCGAACGUUGUUCGGAAUCACUGGGCAUAAAGGGCGCGUAGGCGGCUUUUUCAAGUCAGGGGUGAAAUCCGGCAGCUUAACUGUCGAAGUGCCCUUGAUACUGAUGAGCUCGAGGGAGGUAGGGGUAUGUGGAACUUCCGGUGGAGCGGUGAAAUGCGUUGAUAUCGGAAGGAACGCCGGUGGCGAAAGCGACGUACUGGACCUCUUCUGACGCUGAGGCGCGAAAGCUAGGGGAGCAAACGGG
rnacentral:rRNA from 1 species